AGAACGAACGCUGGCGGCAGGCUUAACACAUGCAAGUCGAACGCCCCGCAAGGGGAGUGGCGCACGGGUGAGUAACGCGUGGAUAUCUGCCUUUUGGUUCGGAAUAACCCCGGGAAACUGGGGCUAAUACCGAAUGGUUCCUACGGGAUAAAGAUUUAUCGCCAAAAGAUGAGUCCGCGUCCGAUUAGCUAGUUGGUGAGGUAACGGCUCACCAAGGCAACGAUCGGUAGCUGGUCUGAGAGGACGAUCAGCCACACUGGGACUGAGACACGGCCCAGACUCCUACGGGAGGCAGCAGUGGGGAAUAUUGGACAAUGGGGGCAACCCUGAUCCAGCCAUGCCGCGUGAGUGAUGAAGGCCUUCGGGUUGUAAAGCUCUUUUGGCGGGGACGAUGAUGACGGUACCCGCAGAAUAACGCCCCGGCUAACUUCGUGCCAGCAGCCGC
rnacentral:rRNA from 1 species